rnacentral:rRNA from 1 species
UAUCUCUGUAGAGUCUGCAUAUCAAUAAGCGGAGGAAAAGAAACUAACUAGGAUUCCCUCAGUAACGGCGAGUGAAGGCGGGAAGAGCUCAAAUUUGAAAUCUUCAAGGUUCUACCUUGACGAAUUGUAGUUUAAAGAAGUGUUUUCUGUUGGAGUUUUGGUAAAAGUUCUUUGGAAUAGGACAUCAUAGAGGGUGAGAAUCCCGUAUUUGACCAUUACUUCCAGCGUUGUGAUACACUUUCAAAGAGUCGGAUUGUUUGGGAACGCAGUCCAAAAUGGGUGGUAAAUUUCAUCUAAAGCUAAAUAUUGGCGAGAGACCGAUAGCGAACAAGUACCGUGAGGGAAAGAUGAAAAGAACUUUGAAAAGAGAGUUAAACAGUACGUGAAAUUGUCAAAAGGGAAGCGUUUGACACCAGUGUUGUUUCUACGAAAAUCAAUUUAUGAUGGCUUGAUGCUAAGCUUUAAGACUUUAUCCGCUUGUUGUUUAGUUUUCUUGUCUUUGUGAAUGCACUUUUCGUGGAACAAGUCAACAUCAAUUUCUUUUGCUGUAAAAGGGUAAGAGGGAGGUGGCUUCGGCUUCGGUUGAAGUGUUUAUAGCCUUUUAUCUCUGCAGUCGGAGAGAUUGAGGUCUGCAGCGUAGACUCUUCGGGGUUAGAUACGUCGGUGCUAAGCUAUAGCUUUUCAUAGACAACUUGUUGACUAUGUUUAGUCAUGUGGCUUACCCGCUGGCGCUAUUUUACCUACGCUUAGGAUGUUGAGUCAUCACACAUCUCU